CGGUGUACAGGAGGUACGUGGUGGCAAUGGGCCAUGGUACGUAGAAGGUGGCAGGUUUGUUGGUGGGGUGGAUGGUCUAGUUUAUGGAGUGAGCAGAAGCCCAUAUGGAGGAGGAGAAGGGGGCGAAUAUGUAGUUGGUGGUGGUGGUGGUUGGCCAUACGUAGGUGUAGGUGUAGGUGUAGGUGGUCGUGGCUGCCUAUGAGGAGGAGGCGGUGAGUGAAUUCGUCUUGGCGGAGGAGGAGAGAUAGUCGGUGGUGGUUGGCCAUAAGUAGGUGUAGGUGUAGGUG
rnacentral:lncRNA from 1 species